GUGCUCGCUUUGGCAGCACACAUACUAAAAUUGGAAUGAUACAGAGGUUACCAUGGCCCCUGUGCAAAUAUGACAUGCAAAUUUGUAAAAAAAAAAAAAAAAAA